GGGAGGCGGAAUCCUGGGCUGUGUCGGGCGCCCUGUGCUCUGGAGCCUGCGCUGUUGGAUUCGCGCUCCCGCCCCGCAGCCCCCU
rfam:Canis lupus familiaris chromosome 21, whole genome shotgun sequence.